CCGCGCAGCUACAGCCUCCGCCUGGCGUCCCGAUGCCCUCCGCCAGCGGCUCCGUACAUCACCAGGCAGUGUAGGAAGGUCAAGGCCCCGGCUGCAGCCCAGUUCCAGGGACCCUUCUUCAAAGAGUAGACACUUCGCCUGCUCCCUGACAGCACCUGAAGUGGCCUGGAAUCAGUGAAGCCAAAGGGACUGGCAGUCUGCCCUACAGGGAGCACCGACCUUUCCUGGUUGUGUGAGCCUGCGAGAGAAAGGGAGUGUGUUUGUGUGUGUGUGUGUGGGUGCGUGUGUGUGCGCGCGCAUGUGUGUUCUCGUGCAGGUGCACGAGUGGUCUUCAAACAAGGGUCCUGAAUCCCCGGGAGGCAGGAAGGUUGCGGACUCCACACUGUCCUCUGGGAUGAUACUUGGAUGCAACUCCUGGGAUGGUGUUCUGCAGCUCAGCCUGCCGGUUGGGGUGGGGCCCCACCUACUAUGCAAUUUUUCAAGAGCUCCUUGACCCUGCUUUUUGCUUCUGGAGUUGUCUUUUGCCAUUGAGGGGAUUCUGGUCUGCCCCGGGGGUCAGCUUUGGUCCUCUGCCAGGAAGGUCUUCAGGAGAAGACCAACUUCCCUUUCCAUACCACCCCCUUCCCCACUUCCCUCUCCCCGAGGCAUCUCUGGGAAUCAAUAGCAUAUAGACACAUUGGAGCCAGCCAGAACAUUCCCCUCAGCUCCAGUGCUUGGAAAGCCCCCUUCCUUGCCUAAACAGUCCCAGCUUCUGGCUCUUGAGUCAUUUCCAGACUUGAAAUCCUCAUCAGUUCAUUGCUCUUGAGUCUUUGCAGAGAACCCCUGAAGCAGGUGUGCCUGGGAGGAACACCUCAUCCCCAACUUGUAGAUCCGUUUCCUCCCUCGUGAAGGGCAGGGGAUGGUGUGGGGGUGUGGGGAUAUCUCCGUACCCUGCAUAUGCUCCCCGGGUGGGACCAUCAACACCUUCAGUCUGAGCUUCUCAAAUUAGCUCCAAAGGGAAACAAACAAAAUAUUUGGUAAAUGAAAAAAAAAAGAAGAAGAAGAAGGAUUAAAAAGCACAGGGGGAAGAGAUUCCCGGAGGCCAUAAAUCACCUGCCAGGGACUCACGGGGCUGACUUGUGCUCUCUGGUGGACAGUCCUUGUCUCGGACAAACGGGUGAGCUGGGCUCGGCGUCAGACCCAGUUCAGUGAGGUUCUUGGGUUUUGUGCCUUUGGGGCAGACCCCAGGUGAGGAUGUCUGAGACCACUUUGGUGCUGUUUCCUCAGCUCUGAUUUCAACAGUGACACAUCAAACCCAAAGUGGCAGGAGGGAAAUUGACGAGCACGAGUGGUCACAUGAUAAAGGGAUUUUCUUUUCAGGGCUACUAUAGUUGAUCUUGCAACUCUGUAAAUAUGUAUGUAGACACUUUUAAAAGCACGUAUUUAUGUCCCUGACUGUAAAUGCCCCAUUUUUAAAGUUUUAUAACUUGUGUUAUUUAAUUCAUCAGUUGACUGGCUGCAGUAUGGGGUCUGAGGAUGGUCCAAGAAAAGGGUCUCGCGAGACCCUCACAUGGGCAGAAAAAUGCUGAUCACUGGCCAAUGUCACAGUUUUCCUGUUUCCCACCCAGCUGAAAAAUGUUGUUUGCUUUUAAUUUAUGUAAACUGGAAUCCUUUUGCCCGCUCUUACAGUUAACCCUCACAAGCAUGAAAAACCGUGGCUGUUCCUUAUCCUGAUGAUACGAUUCUGUCCCGUCCAUGUUAACAUUCAUGAACUAUCUAUCCCCCAGCCUCUCAGUUCACAAGGGUUUUCCCCUCUCAGUGGCAAGGAAACCUCACAAGCCCAAAGCCUCAAAUGUUACCUUCAAGCCAAUGGCAAAUUUUGAAAACUGUCGGGGUCUUGGGGGACACUCAUUUUUUGCAUGUGCAAAUGUGCCGGUCACCUUUCAACACUCCCAGACUGUCAGGAAAACUGUUCCAAUCAUGAAAAGUGGGGGGGAUGGUUUUGUACAAGUGGAGUUUCCUGGUCAGUGGUGGUCUUUGAGCGUGGGUUUGGAUUUUGGAAGAAGACAACCCUGUAUCUGCCAUGUGACAAGCAUUGACAAUAAAAGUGUGAAGAGCGGUUGUGAGGAA